rnacentral:rRNA from 1 species
AGAGUUUGAUCCUGGCUCAGGAUGAACGCUGGCGGCGUGCUUAACACAUGCAAGUCGAACGAAGCACUACCGACGGAACUUUUCGGAGGGAAGAUGGUAAUGACUGAGUGGCGGACGGGUGAGUAACGCGUGGGCAACCUGCCCCAUAGAGGGGGACAACAGCUGGAAACGGCUGCUAAUACCGCAUAACAAGGAGAGAGCGCAUGUUCUUUUCUUCAAAGAUUUAUCGCUAUGGGAUGGACCCGCGUCUGAUUAGCUGGUUGGUGAGGUAACGGCUCACCAAGGCGACGAUCAGUAGCCGGCUUGAGAGAGUGGACGGCCACAUUGGGACUGAGACACGGCCCAGACUCCUACGGGAGGCAGCAGUGGGGAAUAUUGCACAAUGGGGGAAACCCUGAUGCAGCGACGCCGCGUGAGUGAAGAAGUAUUUCGGUAUGUAAAGCUCUAUCAGCAGGGAAGAUAAUGACGGUACCUGACUAAGAAGCCCCGGCUAACUACGUGCCAGCAGCCGCGGUAAUACGUAGGGGGCAAGCGUUAUCCGGAUUUACUGGGUGUAAAGGGAGCGUAGGCGGCCUGGCAAGCCUGAUGUGAAAUACCGGGGCCCAACCCCGGGGCUGCAUUGGGAACUGCCAGGCUGGAGUGCCGGAGAGGCAGGCGGAAUUCCUAGUGUAGCGGUGAAAUGCGUAGAUAUUAGGAGGAACACCAGUGGCGAAGGCGGCUGUCUGGUCUGCAACUGACGCUGAGGCUCGAAAGCAUGGGUAGCGAACAGGAUUAGAUACCCUGGUAGUCCAUACCGUAAACGAUGA